CCUACGGGAGGCAGCAGUGGGGAAUUUUGGACAAUGGGCGCAAGCCUGAUCCAGCAAUGCCGCGUGCAGGAUGAAGGCCUUCGGGUUGUAAACUGCUUUUUGUACGGAACGAAACGGUGAGCUCUAAUACAGUUUGCUAAUGACGGUACCGUAAGAAUAAGCACCGGCUAACUACGUGCCAGCAGCCGCGGUAAUACGUAGGGUGCGAGCGUUAAUCGGAAUUACUGGGCGUAAAGCGUGCGCAGGCGGUGAUGUAAGACAGAUGUGAAAUGCCCGGGCUCAACCUGGGACCUGCAUUUGUGACUGCAUCGCUAGAGUACGGUAGAGGGGGAUGGAAUUCCGCGUGUAGCAGUGAAAUGCGUAGAUAUGCGGAGGAACACCGAUGGCGAAGGCAAUCCCUGGACCUGUACUGACGCUCAUGCACGAAAGCGUGGGGAGCAAACAGGAUUAGAUACCCUGGUAGUCCACGCCCUAAACGAUGUCAACUGGUUGUUGGGUCUUCACUGACUCAGUAACGAAGCUAACGCGUGAAGUUGACCGCCUGGGGNGUACGGCCGCGAGUUGAAACGUCAAAGGAUUAGACGGCGUUGAGACGNGCGAGGACGACGACGAGGGAGGAGG
rnacentral:rRNA from 1 species